UACGUAGGGUGCAAGCGUUAAUCGGAAUUACUGGGCGUAAAGCGUGCGCAGGCGGUUCGGAAAGAAAGAUGUGAAAUCCCAGAGCUUAACUUUGGAACUGCAUUUUUAACUACCGAGCUAGAUGUGUGUCAGAGGGAGGUGGAAUUCCGGCGUGUAGCAGUGAAAUGCGUAGAGAUGUGGAGGAACACCGAUGGUGCAAGG
rnacentral:rRNA from 1 species